CCGCUCUUAGCUCAGUGGUAGAGCAUGUGACUGUAGAAACAGUUGGAUAUCACAGGGUCGCCGGUUCGAUUCCAGCAGCGCGGA
rfam:Tritrichomonas foetus strain K scaffold_783, whole genome shotgun sequence.